rnacentral:miRNA from 1 species
AAGUGCAAUACUGAUCUUCGGAAC